rnacentral:misc_RNA from 1 species
GAAACUUUGACGUCGUCCAUGAACAGUAUGGAACUUGGUCAUAGGAUUACCGAAGCAUUGAAGUCUUGGAAUACUGUAGACGUUGCAAGAAAGCUAGUUACUGGGAAGCAUGUGGUGUUAAAUGAGUUUAUAAAAAUUUGUGAAUCAAAAUACAUGUCACUUCAGAAAUUGAAACAACAAAUAUCUCAAGUCUGAAGGCGGCAACUACAUUCCUGAUCAAUGCCAUUCAGCCGAAAUAUAUUCG